rnacentral:misc_RNA from 1 species
UCCGCAUAGUUUAAUUACUGAUGAGCGGCAGGCCCUCUGUUUGUACCCUUGUCUUUUGCGCACUCAUGUUUCCUCGGCGGGCUUGCCCGCCGAUUGGACAAACUUAUAACCUUUUUAAUUUUCAAUCAGCGUCUGAAAAAACUUAAUAAUUACAACUUUCAACAACGGAUCUCUUGGUUCUGGCAUCGAUGAAGAACGCAGCGAAAUGCGAUAAGUAGUGUGAAUUGCAGAAUUCAGUGAAUCAUCGAAUCUUUGAACGCACAUUGCGCCCCUUGGUAUUCCAUGGGGCAUGCCUGUUCGAGCGUCAUUUGUACCCUCAAGCUCUGCUUGGUGUUGGGUGUUUGUCCUCUCCUUUGCGUUUGGACUCGCCUUAAAGCAAUUGGCAGCCAGUGUUUUGGUAUUGAAGCGCAGCACAUUUUGCGAUUCUAACUAAUAAUACUUGCGUCCAUAAGCCUUUUUUAACUUUUGACCUCGGAUCAGGUAGGGAUACCCGCUGAACUUAAGCAUAUCAAU